rnacentral:lncRNA from 1 species
UGCGAUGUUGGCUUAAAAAUCUGAAGCUCAAAGAUAGAUAUCUCUAUUUAUUCAAUAGAAAAGAUAUUAGUUUAAAAAAAAUUGGGUUACUUUUUAGAAACACUAAGGUUAACGUCUUCAGUCAAACGUUCUUUUUUACUUUGGGUCAUAUAAAAUUAUGGCCUCCCCUACUUCUUCAGUGGCCAGUUUCAAGAAUGAUUUCAAGCAUUAUCC